rnacentral:rRNA from 1 species
GACAGAGGGUGCAAACGUUGUUCGGAAUUACUGGGCGUAAAGCGCGUGUAGGCAGCUCGGAAAGUCGGGUGUGAAAGCCCUGGGCUUAACCUAGGAAGUGCACUCGAAACUUCCGAGCUUGAGUUCUGGAGAGGAAGGCGGAAUUCUCGGUGUAGCGGUGAAAUGCGUAGAUAUCAGGAGGAACACCGGUGGCGAAGGCGGCUUUCUGGACAGAAACUGACGCUGAGGCGCGAAAGCUAGGGGAGCAAACAGG